rfam:Peptococcaceae bacterium BRH_c23 BRHa_1006251, whole genome shotgun sequence.
GAAAUCCCGUUUGGUAAGACGCAGGCCACGUCACCAAUAGCGAGUCUUGGAUGGCUAGGGGUGAUCCUAGCUGUUAAGCGUAGACAUUCAGAUAGAAAC